rnacentral:rRNA from 1 species
AACGUAGGUUCCGAGCGUUAUCCGGAUUUACUGGGCGUAAAGCGCGUCAGGCGGUUUGGCAAGUCGGGCAUGAAAUCUCUCGGCUCAACCGGGAGAGGUUGUCCGAUACUGCUGGACUGGAGGGCAGUGGAGGGUGGUGGAAUUCCGGGUGUAGUGGUGAAAUGCGUAGAGAUCCGGAGGAACACCAAUGGCGAAGGCAGCUCGCUGGGACGUGACUGACGCUGAGACGCGAAAGCGUGGGGAGCAAACAGG